CAAUUCCACAACGUGAUGCAAGUGACCCACAACGACUUCCAGUCCUGCAACGGAACAUCUGCCAUAGCCUCCUACAACUCCGGAUCUGACACCGUAAGCCUCAAAAGGCCUGGCCACUACUAUUUCCUUUGCGGUGUCCCUGGCCACUGCCAAGCCGGCCAGAAAGUUGAUGUAUUGGUCACACCAUUGUCCGUAGGCCCAAGUGCAAGUCCGAGCCCUUCUCUUUUUGGUCCAACGCCUGCAAACCCACCUUCAGAAAUGUUGGCGCCUGGACCCGCUCAAAGCAGUGCUUCGUCUCUCACCUCCUCCGAGCUUUCCUUGGCAUUGGGUCUCGUUGCAGUUUAUGUCUUUGGUUUUGCCUUCUAGACGAGUGGUCUUUACUAUUGUGUUUGUAUCGGGAAUGCUUGACAUGAUUAUAUCGGCGUAGCAUCAUUAUCAUAUGGGUCCUAUGGUAUUAGGCUUGUUUAAUUGCUAGAUGUAAUAAAUGUUUAAAAAUAUAAUAUACUAUAGCUUUGCUUUUUCACCGUUUCUCCAUUUUGCAUUAUCAAAAAUUUUUGUCCAUUGUUGUGAAUCUAACUCAUUCAUAUUCAUUCCAAUAAAACAAAAGAAUCAUAAAUCUCCAAACACAAGGAACGCUGAUAGAACCAUUAUAUUACCUUAUCAUGUUCAGCUCGUUGGAUAUUUCAUAAGAUUUUUAUCUUACAUUAUUUAGGUACACAAGAUGUUAGUACUUUAUAUAAGUAAACUUAUUAUAAGCUUGUUGUAAGUAAGAGAAGAAAGUGGAUUUCUUGUUGUUCUGAUAGUUUGUGCAAAUCAAUCGGGAAGAGUUUGUUAAAUCCUAUCUGAUUUGGUAUUCUGAAUAUUUGAUUUGGUCUUCCAAAAUAACGUUUCAACAUUUUAGAAUAUUUGAUUUGGUCUUAUAAAAUAUUUUAUCUUGAUUGUUUAACGUUAUAAAGUAUAUACCAGCCUUCAUUUCAUUCUCAAUGCACCAACUAUUCUCUCUUCUUCUUCUAUACUCUCUUUCUCUUCUCUACUUUACUAAGUUCUUUCUUAUUUAGAAUUUUCUACUGUCCUUGUAUCCCUGAUAGUUUAUGCAAACGAAUCAAGAAGAGUCUGUUGAAUCCUAGGAGAAAACCUCUAUAGUCCUUUUGCAUCGAGUUUCAUACUAUGAAAAUUAUCUUUAAAGACUCUUCUUUUCUACGUUCUUUCUUAUUUAGAAUUUUCAGUGAUUCUUGUAUCCCUAAUAAUUUAUGCAAACUAAUUAAGAAGAAUCUAUUGAAUCUUAAGGAUAACUACUACAAUCCUUUUGCAUCAAGUUUCAUAUUCCGAAAGGACGAAAAUUAUCGUUAAGGACAAUGUAUCACACCUCAGACUAGUUCGAGUUGAUAUCUACUUUGAAUUUUCGUCAACAAUCUUAAGGAUAAUGGAUUCCCACACAGACAAUGUUAAUGCCUUUGUUGUAGCUUCCACCACCAUUGUUAAUGGUUUUACCCAAUAACCAUUGUCGUCAUUAUAAAUAUUGCCAAUCUAAUGCCAGAUAGAAUCCAAUAUCGUUAACAGAGGUACAAUAAUAAUAAUAAUAAUAACACAAUUGGCACCAUAGCUUGGUUGGUUGGAUCUAUAGUUUGGUGAGUGGGUCGCACCAAACUAUUUUAGUAUAAAAAAUGCAUGAAAUGUGAUUUUUGAAAAUGUGCAAUUGUUAAAUGUUAUAUUCUGGUCCAUAUGUGAAUAUUUGUAUUCUUUAUGUGUGGAUUGUGUAUAGAUUAAAAAUAUGUUUCAAAAGUUAUGUCCUAUCAUAUCUAUAUACUUAAAUACCAUGCUAGUAUGUAAUUGCAUGGGAACAAGUGUCGAUUUAAAAAAAAAAUGAGCCUUGUUUGGUGAGUCAUUAUGAUUGAAAUAUGAUGCUAAAUAUAUUAAUGUUUGGUUGGAAAUAUGAUCGUGAACAUGCUUGAAAUUGAUAACUUGGUUUUGUUUGACAAUUGUGACUAGUAUCCAGCAAAGUAUGCAAUGUAAGUGGAAUUGGUUAGAAAUUGUGUAUUAUUGAACUUGUAUGAUCAAUUAGAAUAAAUAUGUCUUUGUAAACAUGGAUUAUUAAUUGAUUUUAAGGCUGUGAGUACGUGUGAAGUCAAAGGAAAAUAAAAUCUGACCAUAUAUGUCACCCAAGAUUUGAUGUAACAUUGUAAUGGCAAAACUAACUAGGUAAUAAUGAUAUGUGGAUCUUGGAUGGUGGAAUUAUAGUUCUAGUCAUGUAAUCCAUAAAUUGAUAUAUAUAUAUAUAUAUGUAUAUAUCUAGAUGUGAUGUGAUGUGAUUAUGGUUAUGUAUGAUAUCAUUCUACAUUUGGUUUUAGUGAAAGUAUGGUGUUAUUCAACUAAUGAUCUAGAUAAAGGGGACUAUACCUUUAUCUGAGUGCUAUGUUUAUUGUGAUUAUGACAAUAGAAGUGCUGCACGUUAUCUGUAUAUAUUAAAUAUAUGAGUUUGGAAUUUUUACUACUCCUUUAGGCAUAAUGUUGUGAGUUAAUAAUAAUGUUGUACUUAGAUUAAAUAUCAACUUCUGGGUUGACAGAGAAAGCCAAUGUUAUUUUUGGUUGAAAAAUUAUAAGAUGUGGACGUGACCUAAUACUAACACAAGAACAUUAUAUUGACAGGGUACUUAUAAAGUUUGGCUAUUUUAAUAUCACACUUGUAAAUACUCCUUAUGAUGCCAAUAUCCAAUUAAAGAAAACUAGCGGUGAUAGUGUGGCUUAGUCUGAGUAUGCUCAAGUUAUUGGGAGUUUAAUGCAUUUGAUAAAUUAUACUUGACUUGAUUUAGCUUGUGCUAUGUGUAACCUGAGUAAAUAUACACAAAGUCUUAAUCGAGAUCAUUGGAUUGCUUGAGUAGAGUAAUGAAAUAUUUGAAAGAUACCAUAAACUAUGAUAUUUUAUAUAAUCAAUUUUCCACUGUAUUAGAAGGAUACAGUGAUCUUAACCGGAUCUCAAAUUCAGAUGAAACAAAAUCCACAAGUGGUUAUGUAUUCACCCUUGGUAAUUGUGCUAUAACUUACAAAUUAGCCAAAUAAACAAUAGAUGCUAAAUUUACAAUGAAAACAGAAUUUAUAGCUUUGGAGUUGGCUAGCAAUGAGUCUGAGUGGUUAAGAAACCUUUUAGCAGAUAUUCCAUUGGAAAUAAAAUUAACACCUUUUGUGUCUAUGCAUUGUGAUUACCAAAUGGCAAUACCCAUUACAAAGAAAAAAACUUUCAAUGGUAAGCAUAGAGAUAUUCAUUUGAGACAUGAUGUAGUAAAGCAAAUGUUUAAAGAUAGAAUUAUGUCUAUUAAUUAUAUGAAGUUAGAGUUGAAUUUGGUCAAUCCUCUAACUAAAUCCUUAGAAAGAUAAUUAAUUAAUGAUACAUCGAGGGGAAUAGGACUUAAGCCAAUUGAGAAAAAUCAACAAUAAUGGCAACCCAACCUAUGUGAGUGGUGAUCCUAUGAAUUAGGUUCAUAUGGGUAAUAGCAAAUUAUUUGUUAAUAAAUUGAUGUGCUAUUAAAAUUAUUGUCCCUACUAUGGUGUGUGAAUAGUGCAAGAUUACAAUGUAAGAAAAAUUGAGUUAAACUCUUAAUGAAUUCCAUAUUCCUUAUAAGUGGUGUAUUAAAUUGUAGUGUACACUUGAUGGAAUCACUUAUAUAAAUGUGGAGUGGGGUCUCUCCUAUGAGAAUAGUGACAAAUUCUGUAAAGCACUUAUGAAUAACUAGGCAUGCGCAUGCCCUAUUCAUGUAAAACCGUGUUAAACAAUAAAAAUUGUGCGGAUGUAAUGUAAUUGAUGGAAAUCAUAUUUCACAUAAAAAAAUUUUUGUUCAUAUAAGUUAUAAACUUCACCUAAAUUUUGUGAUUUAGGUUUCAUUCUUUACAAGCUUGGUUCAUAGCUUAAAAAGCACUAGUCUUAAUGUAUUACACUCGAGUGAGAUUAUAUCCAGCAAAAACUAUCUAUUAUAAAAUUUUAUGAAAUAUGUGAGGGAUUAUUGGAUAUUUCAUAAGGUUUUUAUCCCCCAUUGCCUAAGUACACAAAAUGUUAGUGCUUUGUAUAAGUAAACUUAUUUUGGGUUUACUAUAGUUAAGAAAAAAAAAAGUAGCCUCGCGAGCACAUGAUAUUGGGCCAAGCCUUGAGAAAAUGCGAAUUGCCCCUACACGUGAGUAUACACGUGGGCGAAGCCCAAGUGAUAUUUUGUACCUUGGUAGUCAACUGUAUUUUUACCUUACCUUGACUCAUUCCUUUUAUUAUGGUAAAAAGAGGAGAACUGGUCUUUGAUUCCAUAAUUGAUUUGGUAUUCUAAAUAUUUGAUUUGGUCUUCCAGAAUAAAGUUUCAAAAUAUUUGAUUUGAUCUUAUAAAAUAUUUUAUCUUUAUUUUUCAAUGUUAUAAAAUAUUUUAUUAUGAUUUUUUUAAUGUUGUAGAAGGUUCUUUUGGUAGGGAUAGAAAACGUGUUACAAUAAGUAAAGCGAAAUGAACUAAAGGAGAUAGAGAGAAAGAUUGGAGCAGUCCUUGAAGUGUACAUGUUUUGGUAACAAGCAGUUAGGAAUAAGAAAGGUGAAGAAAGCAGCAGAGCAUGGCAAAUAGAAAAUACUGAGUCGAAAGAAUAGGUUGAAGAGGUUUGAGAGAAUUUUGAAGAUAAUCUCUAAUGGGCUUUUGAUAAUUUCUCAUUACCUUCCAACCUCCAAGGCUCUCAUAUCUAUACUAAAUAAGAACACUUUCUUAAAAGUAAUUGAGGGAACAUGUUCAAUUAUGGAGAACGUGCUUGUUAUGGAAGAGCAUGUUGAAUAAUGGUUUCUGGGAUGUUAAGAGAAUGACCAUGUAGUUGGGUAGUGGAGUAGUGACACUUGAUAGUGCACCACGUGUACUCUUAAAGAAGAAAAAAAGAAAAGGGUAAAACACAUGUACUUCAAGGAAAGAUUAAGAGAAAAUUCUCUUAACUAUCUCCAUAUUUAAGCCACCAAGCCAAGCUUUCAAGAACAUCCCAAACGUAAAGAUAACUCAUGAACCCUGCCACUCGUUUUGAGUUACUUUCACUUCCUCAUAUGGAAUAGUUGUUCUAUGCUUGUUCCUAUUCUGUAGCACAAUACUUCAAGAACUAAUACUUAGUCAAAAUUGGACAUCUACAUUUUGCACCGUGCAUAAAACUUCUUAUAAAAAGUUUCAUGCAUAAAAUAAGAAGAUGCACAUAAAAUAAGAAAAACAAUACUUUUAUAUAUUUUUGUUUUAAAGAAUAAAGAAUCGCUUACAAAUUUAUGCAUUUAUUAUUAUUAUUAUUAUUAUUCUGUUAUGUGUUACGCGCUUGGGAACAUCUUUAGGCGCUUUCAUGCUUGAAAUGCCCCUAGGCACUUCAGCACGUGGAACAUCCUUUGGCGUUUUCGUUCUUGGAACACCCUUAGGCAUUUCUAUUGGGAAUGGUAUGAUCAGAUUAAAUGCAGCGGAAUGAAACAAAAAAUUGUAAAUGAAUAACAGAAGCAUGUUGCACCUACCAUGGAUCUCCUUGGUGGUUUUAAUACAAACAAAACCAGAAGAGAGGAAUAAUCAGAAAAAAUAAAAUUACCUUUACCAAGCGAUAUGGCUAUCACAAUGGUACCUCUUCUUUGUCCAACCUAUGAACACCACAAAGGAAGCAAAGAACCUGAGCCACUUAAAUGCUUGGCCUUCAACGGUUGCAUACAUGGUUGCACUUGAACCUUCACAAAAAAUGAGCUUUCUUAACUAUGCCUUUGUACUAGCAAGGUGGAUAACAACUUGUCAUCUCCACACAAUCACACUCAUCCUAACCAAACCACAAAGUUGAAAAACUAUUUUUCCAAGUCACUUAAAAAAGUGUGCAAUGAGGCUUUUCUUGUUAGUUUUUUGACAACACAAAAAAACUAACUUGUCUGUUUCACUUGUAUAAUGAAGGGUAGCUAAAAAGUGAUAUUUAUAUCUAGAUUAAUUAACUUCUUAAAUUGCAAAUAACGCCUUAAUUUUAUAACCCUUUAUAAUAUUAGCCCAACACUUAAUUAAACCUUUUUCAAUUAAGUCAUUGUAAAUUAAAAUUAAAUUAAAUUUACUUUAUUUGUUUGCAAUUAAGGUUUUAAUAUCAUAACUAAUUAUAAUAUUAGCUUUAUGCUUAAUUAAACUAUUUUAACUAAGUUCUUAAAAGUUAAAAAUCUAGUGUAUGAUUUAAGUCCAACUUAAAUUAUCACACUCCCAAGUUAAGUCAUAAUGUAACUUAUUGUGCAUAACCCAUUAGGUUCCUAACAUGUUUAUAAUUAAAUUGAAUUAUAAUUUUUAUUAAAUUGAUUAAUUCAAUUUUAUAGACCAAGAUUUGCGUAUAGUAAUGCAUCAUGGCUAUCUAAUUGUUAAGAGAGUCAAAAAGUUUUUUGAUAACCUUUCAAUAUACAGUCUAUCAAUUUAAUUUAUUCCCUCAUCGUAUAUCUUGAAAAUGAUAAAAGCAUGGUACAAUAUCUACUCUUAUUGAUUUUCAAAUUCAUUCUUGAAGUUAAAUCAUUAGCUUUAUAGAGACUUAUAAAAUUUUUUUUUGUAAUCUCUAAGUUGUCUUGGCCAAGGACUUCAACACGUUAAUAUCAACCAAAAACUGUUAUGAUAUGUCCCAUAAAUCACUUGGGGUGAUGAUUCUUUUCUUGACCACUCAUUUGCCUUUACAUGCUUCAUGCUACAACCAACCAUGUCCUGUUUUGGCAUCCUUGGCAAGACUCGUAGGGAUAUGAUUAAAUAUAUAGCAUUCCACAUAUAAGACAACUUGAUGUAUCAAGUUUAAAGAGUAUUUGUACGAUUGACACAUGGAAAAUAUUUGCAUAGACAUUAGAGUGAGAUACUAAAUGCAUUUCUCAUGUUGGGUCAUGUUCAGUGAACUUAUUCAUGGAACAAACACCUACAUUCUAAUACCAAGCAUCUCUACUUCAAUCUAUGAGAUCAGUUACUUACUUUCCAAGUAAGGAAUAUAGAUUGCACUAAUCUUUUAGCAUUAUUCAUGUCCAGUCUCAACAAUACAUCAACCAGGAACAUUAGAGAUUAUGCUUUGAUGUAUAGGGAUCUUAUAAUUGUAACCCAAUACAAUUUUCUUGUAAGGCAUAUUAAUCUCAUGGACUUCAUCCAAUAAACUUAUAACCAAUAUCAUUGAUGUCUUAUUGAUGAAUGAAAACCUUUAAUCAUUCAAUGUGAAUGAUAUGAUUGCAUGAUUGGAACUAAGACUUAAUAAAUCUCAAUUGGCUGCAGGUCUUAGUUCAAUAGUUUCUACGUUUAGAACACCUUUGGGCGUUUCAGCAAUUGGAACGCCCCUAGGCGUUUCUACAGCAUUUCCACGCUUGAAACACUUCUGGGCGUUUCUAUGUUUGCUCUCUACAUGAAAUUUUUUUUAUUGUAUUUUAUGCAUAAUUGGAGUAUUGGAUUAAUAUCAAACCUUGUGGGCAAAUAAAGCUAUUGAUUUAUAAAAUAAAUCCUCUAGAUAAUAAAGAGUUCAUAGCCUUUUAAUGAUAGCACGUUGGAUAUUAUAGAAAUUGAUUUGGCGAAACUACUGUGAGACCUCGACCUUCACAGACAUGUAACGGAGGUAAACCCUAUGAUGUGAAAUAGAGGUAGUUUGGUCAUUUUCUUGACGAGCUCCUAGAAGUGGGUUUUCUAAUAUUAUUAAGGCCUAAGUAGGCCUAAGGCAUAAAUGAAUGAUGAAAAUGAGGAUAAAAUGAUGAUGAAAAUAGAAAUAAUGAUUAUUUCUAAGGUAGGGGCAAAAUGGUCAUUUUUUAUCUCGAGUCUAAAUUUUUAAGUUUUCAUGAACCUGAGUAUUUCUAGACUAUUAUGGACUUUAUCUCCGUGUCAAAAGAGUAAAAAGAUUGCAUAAAAGAUUGGAGAAAGACAAAGCCAACUUGUUAAGGGCAUUCUCGUAAUUUAAGUGAAGUUUGGAUAAGCUUAGGCUAUAAAUAUCUCAUUUCUCAAGCAGCUUCCUCAUUUUUCCAGCAGUUUCUUGUUCUUCUUCCUCCCAUCUCACGUUUCUUCAUCUUCCAUGGAAGCCUCCCUUAAAACUUCCAUGACUCUCUCUUUCUAGCUUCAAUUUUCAUGCCUUUGAGCACUUUUUCAUAGAACCUUUUGUGCUCUAUCACUCUCUCACCUUAAAACCCUUAAAAAGUCUUUGUUUAGCAUUUUUUUCUCACUAAUUGAAAGUUUUAGAGAGAGAAAAAGGGAUUUGCCAUAGUAGCUUGAAAACUCUUAAAAAGGAGUUCAACUAUAAGUCCACCAAGGUUAGAGAUGAGUUAGGGUUGAUUUUAGGUGGUUAGAGAUGGCUAAUAAUUAGAAUUAUGGGCUGUUAUAUUUUUUAUGAUUAUAUUAUGUGUGACAGGUUCCAACGAGGCCUCACAUGUCUGUUUGAAGCAAUAAUCGAAGUUAGAGUCAAUUAAAGAUUCAACAAAUAUCAGUGAGUGAACUUGCAUUUCAAAAUUUCUUUGGGAAAUGUAAAUGUAUUUGGAUGAAACAUUUGAAUGAUUUUAUCCAACCUUUCUUUAAAAAUGUGUGCCGAGAAACAAGCUCUUGAUAAAAUGUUUUGAUGUUGUGAAAAUGUGAAAUGUGUGAAAGGAUGAAUCCAUGUGCUCCUAUAUUAUGUUGAUAUAUAUAUAUUGUGCAUUGAUGAAUAAUGUUGUGUGAUGAUGUUGAAGUGUACGAGUAGGGAGGGCACACAUGAUGAUGUUGAAGUGUGUGAGUAGGGAGUGCACACGUGAUGAUGUUGAAGUGUGCGAGUAGGGAGUGCACACAUGAUGAUGAUAUUGCAUUAAGCUGAAUGUGGUGGGAUGGUAUGCAUGAUGAUGUAUGUAUAUAUAUGUGUGUGUUCGUGUGUGUGUGUGUGUGUGUGUGUGUUAUAGAAAGUUUAUGAAACUAAUUGUGAUUGUGUUGUAUGUUGUCAUUGUUAAUUGCUCCCAAAUUGCUUUUCAUUUCAACAAGAAAAUAGCUUUUGAUAUAACAAGACCCCUUUUAACCAAAUUGCUCUAUUUCUUGCUACAGCGAGAUUCAUUUUUGCUGCAGUGAGAAGCUCUCGGGUUGAAGGGGGGUUACACUGGCCUGAUUCUCAUAGCCGCGAGAAUGUACUCUCGCCGUAGCCAGAAAUUUGCUAAAGCUUCUCACUGCAACGAGAUUUAUUCUCGUUACAGCAAGAAACUCUCAAAUGGUUCCAAAUUUUUUAGUGCAGUUCCUUCACUUUGACAAGGAUUUUGACCAUCUUCCUAUCAAAACUAGGCAAAGUUGUAAACAUAAAAUUGUAGCCCAGCAUCUUAAGUUUCUAAUGGUCAAAAAUCAUGUCAAUUGGACUUUUGUAGUACGAGAUAUGCUUAAAAAACCAAAACAUAUGCAAAUCAAGAAUGUUUCUCGCUGCAGUGAGAAACUUGCUGUCAUGCUUGCUAUCUUGCUUGUUUUUGACAUAUUUUUCACCCAUUUAACCUUAUGGAUUGAUCAUGGGUUUUUGCAACACUAUGAGGUUAUUAAUCAAAGUUUAAAAUGAGGGGUUUUUAGUAAGAAAUUAAAUCAAUUGCAUUGUUUUGAAACAAGUGCAUCAUGAUUUCCAAGUUUUCCUUAUCGAUUGCUUGUUCCCUUCUUAUAUUCACUCACUAAGUUUUAUACUCACAUUUUUAAACUUCAUGGUUUCAUAUUUGGAGGCAGUUGGGACCUAGAUUGAGUGUCCACGUAUACUUGUCUUCUUGGUAGGUACUAUGGCAUCUCAGUAGCGGUACCUUCACUUAAAGUCACUCCACUAACGGUUGAAAGUCUUUUGUCUAUGUACACGUAUAUGUAAUGUAAACUAUUAAAAGUCAUGAGGAACAAGAUCUCAUAAAGAGGCUUGCUUGAGCCUAGUGGGCUAUGCCCAUUAAGCCCAUGCAUCGGUCAUGGCCCGAGAUUUGGGCUGUGACAACUACUUCAUGCCAUUAAUUUAUAAAAAGGUUGAAGGGGCCUAAAGCCAACUCUGUUACAUACAACUAGGUGAUUUAAACCUAGAUAAAGUACUUGAACAUUGCAAACGUUUGCCAACAAAGCCAACAUUGGAAUCUAUGGAGUGAAUUGUACAAGCUUUGAAUGAAAAACAAACAAAUUGUUCAAUUUUUUUUCAAGGUAUUUGUCUAAAUUUUACUUAACUUUUUGUUUUCUUUCUGGUGAAGAAGCAAAGUUUUGGAAAGAAGAAAACAUGGAUCAUUUAGGAACCUCAAAGGGAAAUAUUCAAUAUAAAUAAUGAAAUAGAGUCAUUCUUAGAACAAAGUUUCUAGUUUUGAAGCCCACUAGAUUGGGAAAAAAUUAUACAUAUGAAUAAACUAUAUAUGAAUUGGAUAAGACUUAACAAAACAGUGGAAAUCAAGAAGACUACAUACUUGGUAACAAAAUGUGUUGUUUAGAUACACGGUAUGAGAAAUUCCUCCACCAACUCUCUUCAAACUUUCUAUGCAUUUUUUUUUAGUAUGAUCAUAGGAAAAGUUCAAGACAGGAGAGAGAAGUAGAGAUAUAUGUGGAAAAACAACAAGAUGUAGAAAAGUAUUCGAUAAGAAAAUUUAAAGUAUUAGAUUCCUACUAAGAAAAUAAUUCCUCAAAGACUACAAAUUGGAGAGAAUAGUUUUAUGGAAAUUCACAAUCAAUUUUUCUAUAAUUUCUUUCUAAGGUUUCUUUAAACAAGUAAGUUCUUUUUACAACAAUAUUGUGUUUUAUUUAUACAAUUUCUUCUUUUUUUAAUUUUAUUAUUACUUUUUUUAUUUCAUUUGUUGUAAUGUAACUUUCAUAGGGAAGAAAGGAAAAGAAAAAAAUUAUUAUUGCUGCUAUAUAGCUUUCCUUAAAUAGGAAUUUCUUUUACAUAUAUGUUUAGUGAUUUAUGUAUAUAUAUUCUUUACUUGUUUUGUUUGGCAUAAAGAUAGAAAUAAACAAAAAAACAAAGGGCAAAGAUAAAAAAUAAAAAAUAAACAUGGAAUAUUACUAUAAUUUUGAAGGAUGUAAUAGUGCAUAAGUAGGAAUGACAAUGCAUGAAUACUUAUCUAGUUGUCUUUGUUGUUCGUGUUUGUAAAAAUUUUAUCACCUCAUCUUAUGGCCAAGACUUGUUUUACCUCAAAAGUUCGCUAUGAUGAGCUUGGUAGGGCUACUCUUGGAAAGAAAAGGAAGAAUACUAUUACAACUCCUCUUUUUAAGAAAAUGGCAGAAGGGAGAAUUGAGAUAAUGGUGUCGUCAAGGAAAAAAGAGAAGAUUGCUCCUCUUUCUAAGAAAAUGCUAGUAGGGAGAAUUGGGAUGAAGUUCAAAUUUGAGUGUGGUAAAUUCCCACUUUGGGUCACUAAAUUUGGAUCCAAAUCACUAUGGGUCCACAGUUAGGAUAAUGGGUAGAGAAAAUUUUGAAGAAUUUCAUUUACUUGAUUGCUCUCAAUAAUGCUAGAGUCCUUAAUGUUGUAAGAGUCACCACUAAAUUUCGUAUUUGUAGGGAGACUAGAAUUAAAGUAUGGCAUGCUAUUUCUGCAAGGUGGAGUACUUUUUCACAUACUAUAAUUAUGCUUGAAAAAAGUUUAUUUGUACUUUUGAAGACAUGUGCAUUUUUUUUUUUGGAACUUCCUUAUGCUGAUAGAGACAACUUUUGUUCCAUUUUUUUUUCUAGGGAAGAGAAAAGUGUUAAGAAAUUCUUUAUGGACUUGUUUAAGAGCCAAGUUAAAGCUUCCAAAAUGGUGCGUUUUUCUAACUAGGUAAGGCUGUUUUAUAAGAAGUUCAAUAUUAAAGGCUAGAGCCAUCCUCCUACGUAUCUAGAUCACGCUCACGAGUUAAUGACUUUGUUAAUCAUAUAGUUGACUCCAUAUGUCCUCCCAAGUUGUCUAAAUGAUGGGAUCUUUUCUUUAGUUAUUCCUUAUGCGAUCAAAUUGCUAAAGGUGUGAGCUUUCCUCUUGCUUCAUUAUACUUAGGAUCUUUAUAUAAGAAUAUCACUCUAAAACUGCUAAAUCAGUUGGUCGCUAUAGAGUCUUGACUUAUGUGGAUGUAUCAUUCAUUUAGAUGUGUCUAUGGGAAAGAUUCCAUAGUUGUGCCUCUAUUUCUAUCGUGCACCAGCCUUUUGUGUCUUCCUCUACAAAUAAAGUUUUAAAAAACAAUUAUAGAGCUUGGACAUGGCAUAAGCAGACUUAUAAAGAGAACAUUCUUAAGGUGUUGGAUGAGGCAGAUCAAUAUACUACAAGACCUUAUGUAAGAUCAACCAAUGGUUUUAGUGAUCCAACAAUUUAUUACAAUAGGUGAACAUUUAAUGUUGGAAAAUUGAGCUAGCGUGGAUUAAACUUCUUAAUGUGGAUUCAUUCUUCUUAAUUACCUUCCAUGAUUAAGAUGACUAGUUUAAGUGCUGAUAUGAAUUCAUUUUCUAUCGAAGUAUACUCUCCUUAUAGAGUGGCGCAUCAAUUUGGGUAUGAUCAGCCAACUGCACCUAAACCCUCUUUUCUUGAAAACUUCUCUUCUUGUACUUUCUUAUUUCUUAUUGGUGUACUCAAUCAUAACAUGGAUAAGUUCAAAAACUACAUUGUCCUAGCCUUUGACAGAAUAGGUGCCUACUAUGUUGGUUGAUAUACUUAUUGGGGAGACUAUCUUUAGGAAUGGACCUUGUUUGUUAUGCCUAAUCCUAAAGUGCAAUUGCAUGCUCCUUCCAUCAGUAAAAAUGACGCGUUGCUUCGCUUAAUUCUUUAAAAGGACAAAACCUCUCACCAAGGAAGCUUGUUUCUUACUCUCUUCAUCUCCCUUUUCAUUACAUUCUCACCUUGAUAUUGAACUCCUAUUCUCUUUUUUUUUUAAAAAAAAAAGAGAGUCAACUCUAAGUGCAGAGGUGGAAAGAGAAGAUAUCUUAGAGUUUAAACAUGAAAAAGAAUCAUGUGACCACACAAAUAAUUAUGAGUUCAAUGAUGAGUCAGUUGAAGGGAGGCUUCCCAGACAUGAAUAUUUAAGUUUGGGAGAAAGAGUGGAUGGUAAUGCUAUACAAGAAAGUCUAAUAGAUAUGAUCGAUUUUUUACCUUUUACUAUGCAAAAUGUUGGUGGUGAUGAGGUGAAUGCCACUACUAGAGUUGAUUAAAGUGUUCUUGGGACUAUUUCAAGUAAUGUGAAUUCUGAUUUUUACUUUGGGAUGCCUCAAUGUAACAAUGCAAAUGUCAUUUUUGAGGAAACUUUUGGAUUUACUCGAAGCAUUCAUAAUAACUUUGGAAUUGGUGUUAUUCUUGGUGUUGCUUGCAACGUUUUCUCUUUUAAGAGUGUUUUGAAUGCUACUUGUAGUGCUUAUUCUCUUGAAGGUGUUCCGAGUACUACUUGCAAUGUUUAUUCUUUUGAAGGUGUUUCGAAUACUACUUGCAAUGCUUCUUCUUUUAGAGGUGUUCCAAAUUCUACUUACAAUUCUUUUUCUUCUAAAGGUGUUCUAAAUACCACUCACAAUUUUCCUUCUCCUUUUCGGGUGUUUUAAAUAGUAACUGUAAUGUUUCUUCUUCUCCUAUAGGUAUUUCGAAUAACAUAAAUAUUAUUUAUUUAAGUAUUGUUACACCCCUUCUUACUACUCACUAUAUGUCAUCCUAUUUUUUUUUUUUUAGUAACUGAAUGUAGAGAAGAUACUUCUGAUACUCAUUUAGAAAGCUUUCAUGGCAUUCCAGUCUUGCCACAACUCUUGUAGCUUUUGGAGAAAAUCUAUAAUGUAGAAGGUGAAUUUUGGCAUAUUAAAGGCAAAUUCAUGAACAAAGCUAAUAUAGAUACAUUGGGUAGUGCCUUAGAGAUCGCUUUCUCCCCAUGGGCGACAUUUCUUUCAAAGAAUUGUAGAAGAUGGUGGAUCUCAUGGAAGAUGUCCUCAACUCUAGUUGUCGAAUUAAAUAUCUUGACACUUGUAUAGCCAAAGUCAAAAGAUACAUUAUGACGAGGGUUGACAAACCUAGCAUAAAGGUAGAGAUAAAAUAACUUGAUGCAAGGAAGAUUAGACAACCUUUCCAAUUUUAAGAAUAAUAGAUCUUUCUCCUCUCUAAACUUCAUACUUAACUAGUUUGUUCUUGUUUUACUUUUUCUAACAUUGUAGAGUUAUUUUCCAUGCUAAAUAUUUACUUUGCUUUCUUCGUGGUUUUAUUUGUUCACUCGUAAAUUGAGAUACAUUUUUCCAUGUUUCACUAUUUGCAAACAUAUGAAGGUUUCACAAGUAUCAUUAUGCACUGCCAAAAGGGAUUUUCAACUUCACAUUAAACAGAAUAAUCCUCAAUCUAGUGUGAAGGACAAUAACACAUCCUUUAUAUGAGCAUUUAUAACUGCGACCUAUUUAUGAAGAGCAAGCUAUCGCUAGUAAGUGAGCUAUAAAACUAGCAGCUAAUAACGUAAUAUCAUUACAGUCAGAUUAUGAGCGUUAAAUCUUGCAACUGAAAAUGUGAAUUAUAUGGUGAAAAAUUUGAGAUAUAAAGCUUGUGACCAAGUGCAACAAUAAUAUUACAGCCAAAGUAAGAGUGAUAAAACUUGCAAGUGAAAAUGAAUUUACUUUAAAAUAUCACAAGACAGCCAAAAUGAAAACGAUAAAGCUACAGCUGAAAAUGCAUUUACUUUAAAAUAUACAAGGCAAUUAAACAAAAACUUACUCUAAGAAGUCAUUCAUAAAAAGAGACAGAUAGUGGAUGGCAUUCUCAUACAUGAUAUUUCUUAAUGUAUUGGAAAUUGACUAGUGCUAUAACAGAAUUGGUCUUUAUAUUCAUUAGUUUGCAAUAUCUACUCACAUUCACCUUAUGAACAAUGUAUGAUCCUUUCCACCUUAGACUAAAAUUAGCUACUGAUAUUCCUCUUGUAAUAUGUUUUGUUGCACAGGGUACUAAGUCACCCACUUCAAAGCUUUUUUUUCCUUACCAAUUUGUCAUACACUCUACUCCACUUCUUUAAUAUGUGGAAAAGUUCUUCUUGGCUUUAUCCCUCAUUUCCUCUAAUGUUUCGAAUUCCAUCAUUCAUAAAGUAUCAUUGUCCAUUUUAACAUUCAAGGCCAAUUUUGCUAAUGGAACUAGGAUUUUUGCUUGCAAAAUAACUUCUAUUCGAUAUACUAAAGAAAAAAUAAUAACAUGGGUAGGUCCUCGCUUAGAAGUUCCAUAUGCCCACAGUGCCAUAAGAACAACAUCAUGCUGCAUAUUAAGAUCAUCAUGUACCAUUAUAUUCAGCAUCUUGAGCAGAGUCUUGUUGGUGGCUUCAGCUUGACCAUUUAUUUUAGGGUAAUAAAAGGUUGACUUCACAUGGUCGACAUCAUAAAAGGCUAAGAGUUCUUUUACACUAAAGUUAACAAAUAGGAUACCAUUGUCUGACAAAAUACGCUUGGGUAUUCCAAAUCCACAUAUGAUGUUUUCUUUAAUGAAGUUGGCCACAGUUUAUCCAAUUGCAUUCUUUGAGGGAACAGCCCUUACCCAUUUGGUGAAGCACUUUGUAGCUAUGAGUAUCCAUGUAUGUCUAUAGAAAAGAGACCAAUAGGUCCAACCAAGUCAAACUCCAAAGUGUGGAAAGGCCAAGGUGUGAUGACACUAUGAAGUACUACAAUUGGAGCAUGUAUGGCGUUUCAUGGACUUGACAUUCACAACAUUUUUUGCAUAAAUCAUCGCAUCUGUUUCCAUAGUAGGAUAAUAAUAUCCAAGAUCCAACAGUUUCUGAAAAAGAUUCCUCCCCUUUCAUGUUCUUUGCUACUUUUGACGUGAACUUCUUCCAAUAAGGGAUUUACAUCAACUAGAGAAACACACUUCAGUGGACGUCGUGCAAAUGUUACUUAGAAUAAUUCAUUCCUUUUAAGGAAAAAACGUUGAGCUUUUCUCUUAAAUUGUCUUACGUUUUGGAAAAUUUGUUGGAAAAAUUCCAUUUUAAAAGAAGUUGAUGUAAGGUUUACGCCAAUCGUCCACACUUCCUACAAAAUGACAUUCGUGCACAUCUGGAGGUUCUAAACACUUGGGACAAGACUAUUGAAAUUGAAGCACAUCUUUGGACAUAUUUGGCCAAAAAUACCUUGCUUUCUCGAGUAACCGAUGCAACAGUGGUCUUUCCUCUCCACACCAUUGUGCAUACAUUUCUUUCAAUUUUUCUUCUACUUCAUGAUUAGAAAUGCAUCUAGUUAAUACUCCAUUGCCUGCCUUGUGUUACACACACCAUGGAUGAGAGUGAAGUACUUUAAUCGUGGGGUAGAUGUAGAGCUUGGAUUAAGUAAGUCUCUUACUACAAAUGCACGUCAGUCCUCUUCUUCAUAGAUGAAGGGUUGUAUAAGCUCACUAGAUGGACAUGGGAGCCUUCUUUUCAAUAUCGAAAUAGUACUUUGAUCUUCCUCCUGCAUUUGUAUCUUGGAAGCUAGAGCAAUAAAUGUGUCUGCAUGUCUAUUCGUCAAUCUUGAAUUAUGUUCACAUCUCACUUUUGAGAAUUUCUUUAAAAGUGACAAGACAAUAGAUCUGUAUAAUGCAAGCAUAGGCUCUUUAAGAGAAAACUCACCAUUUCUCUAUUUUACAAUGAGAUUAGAGUCUCCAUGGAUGCACAAAUCAUUGACUCCGACAACAAUGCCCUUAUACAACUCCAGAAUCAAGGGUUUAUACUCUGUUUGGUUGUUGGUGCAAGGGAAAUCUAGCUUGAAGGCCAAUGAGAUAGGAUCUUUUUUAUUAGGUAUGUUCACCUUUUACAUCUCCUUUGAAUGAGCUUGACUGUUGUAAGAAUUGAAGGAUGACUCAUCUGGGACAAUGUAUCCUUAAAGACAAUGUAUCACACCUCAGACUAGUUCAAGGUGAUAUCUGCUUUGAAUUUCAUCAACACUACUCAUAUACAAUAAUUCAUUUGUCAACUAAAAAUGUUACGAUAGUUUAUAUUGUGCGAUGAAAUUAAAAGUGAGACCAAUUUUAUUAUGAACAAUUUUGUUUAGGUUGGUGAUCCAAUCAUACGAGGUAAGAAACGGUUCAACACGUUUGUCAACCUUUCUGUUUGGAAAAGCUGCAUUCCUUUGAUUUAUCAAAACGAGCAUUAUAUUACUCUCAGCUUUGAAGUAUUCAUCUUACAACUUGAAGGCAAUUUAUUAAAGGGGCAUUUUAAAAAAUAGUCCUUAAAAAUAAGAUAUUUUUAAAAAUAACCCUCUUUAUAAUUUUAACUAUUUGUAGCCAAGUUGGACAAAAUUAUCCUUAAUGAAGUUACACGCUAUGAUGUUACACACCAUGUACAAAAAUCUAUGACAAGCCAUGGUUAGCGUGUUACACGCUAUGUACAAAAAUAUGUGACACACCAUGUACAAAAACCUGUGACAAGCCAUGGUUAGUGUGUUACACGCUAUGUACAAAAAUAUGUGAUACGCUAUGUACAAAAACCUGUGACAAGCCAUGGUUAACUUGUUACAUGCCAUGUACAAAAAUAUAUGAUAAGCCAUGUACAAAAACCUGUGACAAGCUAUGGUUAGCUUGUUACACACCAUGUACAAAAACUUGUGACAGGCCAUGGUUAGUGUGUUACACGUUAUGUACAAAAAUAUAUGACACGUCAUGUACAAAAACCUGUGACAAGCCAUGGUUAACGUGUUACAUGCUAUGUACAAAAAUAUGUGACAAGCCAAGUACAAAAACCUAUGAUAAGCUAUGGUUAGCUUGUUACACGCCAUGUACAAAAACCUGUGACAAGCCAUGGUUAGGUUAUUACACACCAUAUUGAAAAAAAAUAUUGUUGUUACACGUCAUGCAAAAAAACAUGUUACACAUCAUGGUUAAAAAAGGUUGUUACACGUCAUGUUGAAAAAAAAUAUUGUUGUUACAUGCCAUAUUGAAAAAAUAUUGUUGUUACACCACAUAUUCAAAAACAUUUUGUUACACUUUAAUGCUUAAAAUGUUGUUGUUACUUACGAACCAAAACUUCAAAUCCUCUCAACUUUUUUCUUUUUUUUUUAUUUUUUUGAUAAUUUGGCACAGAUUAAAGUGUUUCUAACAUGUUUUCAUAAAUUAAAAUACAAAUAUUUUUUUAUCUAAAACACCUACUUUGACUAAAAAAAAAAUCUUUGAAAACCUAGAUUUAUAAAUUUCAAAAUUUUGAGUUUAUUGGUAUCUAGGUCCCGAAUUGAUUCAAGUAAAAGUUAUUUCAUACAUUUGUGAUUAUUUCUAUUGUUUUAGUUUUAUCGAAAAUACCUAAAAAUCGAAUUUUCCAAAUAGUCACCUACCCAAGCACGUCAAAACUAUUGCUUGAUGUCUUGAAAGCAUAAAAAAGAGAAAUCUGAAAACACGGGAGAGAAAAAUUGAAAGCAUAGCAGAGGCAUGCCAAAUAGAGAAAUCGAUAAAAUUUGAGAGACUGGGAUGGUGAGAGAGAAAUUCGAAGCACAAAUGGAGAGAAAUUGAGAGAAAUUGUGAUGAAUGGUUUAAUUUAGAGGAAAUUGUGAGAAAAAGACUUUGUGAUAAAGUGAUUUCAAAUAUAACCGCCCAUAUAAAGUUAUCUGUUUCUACCAAAAAAUUAAUAUGAGUAGACCAAAAUGCCCUUAAAAAUAUCGUUUCAAAUAAAUGCUAAACUGUUUGAGCUAUCUACCUCCCGCUAGAGAGAAAAUGAAAAACAUUAAAAAUAAAUGAGCGCAGCUGUUUGGGCUCGGUCAUCUUUCUCUGUCUCAACUCUGGCAAGUCUCUGUUGAGCACCAUCGUUGUCAGCUCUCUCAGAUCUCUGAACUGUAUGAGCUUUGUCAACUCUCUGUUGAGCACCAUCGUCAUCUGGUUGUGGUCUAUCUCUCGGCAUCUGGCCACAUUGUCGUAGAUUAACACACCCUAUAGCAGAGAUGGCAUCAAGGUACCUGUUAUUGGGUUUAUUUCUGCAACACACUUAAAUUUUUGAAACAUUUGGUGUAAAUGAUAAGAUGGAUUAGAAACAUUACCUAGAGUUGUUACACACCAUGCAUUUAUAACAUGAGUGAAGAGUUAUUUUAGCGUGUCACGACUGUUACUAGCGUGUUGUGGGCUAACUAGUUAUUUGGGUUGUUAGCGUGUCACGGCUGUUCCUGGGGUGUGGUGGGUUAACUGAAUUUAUGGGUUUUUGGCGUGUCAUGGCUAUUCCUGACAUGUCAUGGGUUAACUAGUUUUUUGAGUUUUUAGCGUGCCACGGAUGUUGGUGUAACCAGUCAGUAAUUACAGUGAUGCAUGGCGUGUCACAACAUUUGACUUGAUAUGCAUGACGGGUUACAACAUUUUACGUUAUAUGCAUGGCGUGUAACAAUACGACUGACAAAUUUUUGAUCACGACAUGUAUUAUGUAAAAUGAUUGACAAUAUUUUUUUCAACAGACAUAUGAACCAAAUACAGCAGAUUCACCUAGGAGCCCAAGCGGACUUUAUGAGAAUAGGGCAUGAGAAAUGGGCACGUGCAUGUUCACCGGCAAGGAGAUACCAAAUGAUGACAUCCAACAUUGCAGAAUGUGUUAACUCAUGCUUGAAGCAUGCAAGACAAAUGCCGAUCUCUGUUUUGAUCAAGUUCAUCAGAGACAUGUUCCAGCGUUGCUUCCAUGAACGGUACGAGGAGGCCGUCAAAGUGACCACGUCCCUCAACCCUUGGGUUGCCAGGCAGUUGAGUAAAAGGUUCAAUGAUGCACAUCGCUUUCUAGUUAAGCCUAUCAAUCGAAUGGAGUUCAAAGUUAAAGACGGGAAGAUGGACGGACUUGUAAACCUAUCUAAGAAGACGUGUUCAUGUUGUGAGUUCCAAAUAGAUUUACUACCAUGCAACCAUGCCAUUGCAGCAAUAAGGUCAGAAUAUCUUUAUUUCUUAUUUGAACUGUAAUUGACAUAGCAUUUACAUUGUGCUUGAAGAUUGAGUUUUUUGUGUUUUUCAGUAAAUGCAAUCGUGAAGCCAUUGAAUUAUGCGCUGACUACUAUAAGACAACCGUUUUUGUGGAGGGUUAUUCAAGAUCCAUUAGGUCGGUCGGGCAUCCUAGUGAGUGGGACAUCCCCCCUCAUGUGAAAUAAAUUGUCGUCUUGCCCUCACCUUGGCGAGGCCAAGCAGGAAGACCUAAAAGGAGAAGGAUUCCAUCAGCUGGUGAAGGUAGUCGAGCACAGAGAUGUUCGCAAUGCAAGAGGUACGGGCAUAACAGACAGAACUAUCCAUCCCCAUUUGCAGUUUCAUCCACAAAUUCGGCACCAUCUCCAAGUCAAUCGCUGACUCCACAACUGCGUCGACCCAAAGCAUGUUCAAGUUGCAGACAAAUCGAUCACACAAGCAACAACUAUCCAAUACAAAGGACAAUGUCUGAAAAUGUAGGGUGUGUUGUGAAUGAAGACAGCCUGACCGCCUAACUAAAUGUGUCUGAAAAUCGUAGUUGAAUUCGUUUUGCUUUACGGAUUUGUCUGCUCGAUCAUUCUAUGAGGCACUUUUAGUUACGGACUUCGUUGCCAAACAUUUCAGGCAGACAAGCAUGUCAAGGCCUCUGUCUGAUCAAGAUCAUGUUAAAGUACAUUCUUACAUUGUUUGUAAAAAUGUUUUCGAUUACAAUCUCCAUCAGACAGGAGCCAUGUAUUUGCUUAUCUGCCUGAAAUGUUUGGCAACAAAGUCUAUAACUAAAAAGACCUCAUAGAAUAAUCGAGCAGACAAAAUGUCAAGAUCCUCAUACUGUAUGCGUUGGAUCUGCAAAACAUGGCAUAAAUGCACCAGUGAGUUAAGCCAUAAUGUGCAACAAGGUAUACAGAAGAAAUAAAUAAGGAAUAAAUGUGAGACACGCCAUGCAUAACAAGUAAAAUGUUGUGACACGCCGUGCAUAUCAAAUAAAAUAUUGUAACACACCAUUCAUGACAAGAAAAAUGAAAUGACACGCCAUGCAUAACAAGUAAAAUGUUGUGACACGCCAUGCAUAACAAGUAAAUUGUGCUGACACGCCAUGCAUAACAAGUUAAACAUUGUGACACGUCAUGCAUAACAAGUAAAAGGUUGUGGCACGCCAUGCAUAACAAGUUAAACGUUGUGACACGCCAUGCAUAACAAUUAAAUUGUUCUGACCUGCCAUGCAUAACAAGUUCUGAUGUGUAAAUUUAGAUGUAUUAUUUUAUAAUGGCAGGAUAGAAUUUUGGCCUGAAAACAACUGAAAAAAUAAGGGAGGAUGGAUACAGAACAAUUUCAUGCUGGAAACAAUUAGAUGGAUGGAAAAAUCUAUAUAUUCAAUGUUAAUCAAUGUAAUGUUGGGUUGGUGCAGCCGGUGUGCCUGGAAGAGAAAGACGACGAACCUGAAAAUUAAUUAAUGCCAACUUGGGGUGACACGCGAUGGCCCAAUUCUUAUGACACGCCUACUAGAAGCAGAUUAAUGGCGUCACACGCUGAGUAUCUGGAGAUUUAUGGUGUGACACGCCACAACCCAAUUGUUCUGACAUGCUGAGUGGAAGUAGAUUUAUCGACUGACACGCCAAGUGUUAGUGAUUUACGACGUCACACGCUGACUUAUUGUAGAUUUUUGGGAUGACACGCUGAGUGCAAGCAUAUGUAUGUUGGGACACACUGAGUGGUACCAUGUUUAAGGCGUCACAUGCUGACUUCUUGCGACUGUGUAUCAAAUUAAAUAUAUUGUAUAUAGAAAAGGAAAAAAAUUAUUGGUAUCAAAUUAAUUGUGUAUAGGCAAAAAAGUUAAUUGUGUAUCAAAUAAUUGUACAAAGUAUAUUGUGUAUACAGAAAGAAUUAUAUCUGUUUACAAUGAAUUGUAUACAAUAAAUUACGUAUACAAAAAAUAUGUAUAAAAUGAAUUGUAUAAAAAAAUUUAUGUGUACUAAAAAAAUUGUACAGACAAGGGCCUAUAUGUUCAGGGUUCGCUCUCACAACUGUUGGAAAAAAUUUUCAGAGCAUAUUGCCGACGCAUAUUUGUAAUCAUAUUCUGUUUAAUUUCGAUCUUUUCUGAUUGUAAAAUAUGCUCGAUGUACCUUAUCAUGAACAUAUCGCAGCUGACACUAUCAUUCUGCCAAUACACUUUAGCUUUUAGUAAAUGAAUAUCCAAUGGCAUCACGUCAAAUCCCAUCUCUUCCGACGUAUGUUGUUGAAAUAACAGACUUGGUGGCAGAUGAAUGGCAUCAUUGUCAUCAAAGGUGUCAUCUGACCUGCACGAACUCUGUUAUCCUUAGCAUCCGAAGUUCUUAUUGAGUCCACCAUCUUGAUCGUCCACCUCACCAAGUCGAUCUUCGCAACCACCCAAUGCCCACCAACGUUGCAAGGCGCAAUGAUGAAAUCAACAUCUUUCCAUUUUUUGGCGUACGUUGGCCUUUCACCCUCCACAUAGCCCCAUAACUCAUCUGAAAUUUGCAUUUUGGCUCGAGCAUCUUCUGUUGGAAAUUCGGUGUGUAGCAUACGGAUGGUGUCCUGUGAAACAUGUAAACAUUAGCUUACACUUCAUGCAAUCAAAAACUUAGUAUUUAUAGAAUUGAACAAUUUUCAAAUAAACUUACGAAGAAUAUCGUGUCAACCACGCAUGCACAGGUAGUGUACAGCUUCAACUUUGGCCCUAUCAUUCGCUUGCAGAGUAGGCUGAGGCAUGCGUCGAUAUGUUCACUUGUCAUUUCCUCAUUGGGAUCCUCUAAGGUUAUGAAAAAGUCAGCCCCUUGAUCCCCUAAGAUACCGACGUUAUGCCUGCAUAUGUAACAUAAUUAAUUUCAUAAGUCUUGGUGGAUAAUUGUUUUAUUAAAAAACAAUAUUUGCAAUUUUAUUUACGAGCUUACCUCGCGGACUCCUCUUUCUUGAAAGCUUCGUAGUCUUCUACUAUUUUAUCCCUCACAUCUCGACGGGUCACUAAGGGGUCGACGAAUGGGCUUUCCAUGUAUUUGCUAGCCAUUUUCAACCGUGCUCGUUCAGUUAGGUCUGAAAUUUCUGCUGCACCAUGAUGGACAGCAGAUGACUCUGAUGACGACGACCGUAUCUCAACUGCAUCAGGAGUGCUCUCACGAUAAAGAACAAUAACUCCUGCUGCUGCGUUGACGAAUGCAUCGGUCGGAGCAAGAUGCUCUCCUUCAGCAUCAUAUGACUGAAGGGUGACAUCCACUGCCACAGCUUCUUCGACGACAUCAUCUACAUGAGUUACGUGCUCUCCGUCAGCACCAAGAACGUCAUCGUCAAUGUCAACACCAGGUUCAUGAUGCUGUCCAUCAUCGUGCUCCAGACCAGCACCGUGAGAUGGACCGCCUUACAAAAUUGGAAAAAUCAUUAGUUAUCUCAUAAAAUACCACAAACCAUAAAUAGUAAAAUGUUGUGACACGCAGUGCAUACCAAGUAAAAUGUUGUCACACACCAUGCAAAACAAGUAAAAUGUCGUGACACGCCAUGCAUAACAAGAUAAACUUGGUGACACGUCAAGGAUAACAAGGAAAAUGUUGUGACAUGCCAUGCAAAACAAUUAAAAUGUUGUGACACACCAUGCAUAACAAGAUAAACUUGGUGACACGCUAAGGGUAACAAGCAAAAUGUUUUGACACACCAUGCAUAUCAAAAUCAAACGUUGUGACACGCCAUGAAUAACAAGUAAAAUGUUGUGACACGCUAAAGCUGACACGGCAAUAACUAACUAUAAUACAAAUGUCCUGACCCGCUAAUGAUCAAAAACCAGUUAAACCAUUACCACUUAACCCAAAAAAUCAUCAAAACCAUCAAGAAAACACAGUCUAAACAGUUGUUAAACGUAAACCAUCAAAAUACAAGCGAAGAUAGAAUAAUGUACUUGUGAUUUAAGGCCGUCAAGAACCCGACCAACAAUACGGUCCUCAAUCGUCUGCAUUACUACACUCAAUGACUGAAUUGAAGCCUUCAACUCCAACAUAUCUUUUUCAUGCUUGCGCAUGAUCCGUCGGAGCUGACGGGUUGUGAUUGCUCCGUCAUUGACUGUUCUCGACUGGGUCAACUAUAAUAACAUAUAUAAUUGUGUUAUUCAAUAAUCAUAUAUGAAAUUAUUGAAUAUUAAUCAUUACAACUUUAAUAUCCUAACCGGAGGCUCAUUAGCAAUCUGUGAUGGAGCUGGACAGAUGGGUGCUUCAGGACCUGUCGUCGCUUUCGCAUACUGCAAUUACAUAUUUAACUGUGUUAUUCAAUAAUCAUGUAUGAAAUUGUUGAACAUUAACUGUUACAACUUUAAUAUCCUUACCGCCAGCUCGUUAGCUAUCUGCGGUAGAGUCGGACCGAUCGAUGCUUCAAGACCUAUCAUCGCUUCUGCAAACUGCAAUUAUAUAUAUAACUAUGUUAUUCAAUAAUCAUGUUUGGAAUUGUUGAACAUUAACUGUUACAACUUUAAUAUCCUUACCGCUGACUUGUUAACUGUCUGCGGUUGAGCUGGACCGAUCGGUACUUGAGGACUUAUCGUUGCUUCCGUAAACUAUAAUUACAUGAAUUACUGUGUUACUCGAUAAACAUAUGUGGGAAUGUAGAACAUAAACAGUUAGAACCGAUCUUACCGAUGGAUCGUUUUAACUUUACAUCUGAGGAGGACCGGUGGGUGGUUCUAAAGCUGCCGGCCCAUGGUCCAAUUGCAAACAUAGAAAUGUUAUUCGAUAAUCACAAAUAGAAUUGGAGAACACAAAACCGUUACAAUUGUCCUUACCGGCUGUUCACUGCCUUGACCAUGGUCAUCCUCUUCAUCCAUCAACUCAUCAACUAAAGCAGUAACGGUGUGCAUCCGCUUUGUGCCACCAAAGGCUUUUUUCUCCUUCAAGCUUCUCUUUUUUUGCCUCGCACCUAAGCCCCAAUCCGACCGAUCCUCCAUGUGCCCUAUUGGCACGUACUCGUGGCCUUCCGAUAAUGGGACAUCAAGGUCCACAAAAUACUCUCAGAGGGCCUCAUCCGCGGUGAGUUCCAAAGUCUCCAAUGUCCACAAUUGCAAAUAAACAAAUAAAAUGUUGUCAUUAUCGAAUAGGAAAAAUUAUUUUACAAAUAUAAAGCAAAAAUUAGCAGUUGUUCACUCACUUGGUCAUAUGACUCUAACUUCUGAAUUGCCUUGUAGAAGUCUUUUGGCUUCUGAUUACAAUCCCAUCUGCACAUUCGUGGGUGGACGUUGUCUUUUGGACCAGAGGGGGCAACUAUUUUUCGGAGGGUCAAAAUUGCCUCUAUUGCCCAGAACUGUAUGUCAAAUGUAACCAUUAUCAGACCGUCAAUCAUAAACGACUGCACCCAUAAAUUUUUUGUUCGAAAGAAAACUGAAAAAUGUUACGUUUUAGUACUUAUAUCACCAAUGCGAAUCCAUAAAUGUUGUAGCGUAAUCGAGUUUCCUUUGUCACGCUCAAGUCAGGAACUUCGAACCCCUUCAAAAGGUAGUCCAAGGUCAGCUUCCAAACGUAGUGCUCCCAUAGGAAGACAUUCCAAGCGUCGAUGUCCUCCACCAAUGACAACAACCAAGGCGUCACCCGUCUAUGGUAGUUUUGACCAAAUAAAAUGUUAUUCGCGAUCAAGAUGAGUGCCAUCUUGGUCUCGUCUCCUGGUCACUGAAAGUUACCCCCGCGGAAGGUAUCAAGCAAAGCCUACAGCUUAACGUUGUCCUGCCCGUUCCAGUAUCUUGCAUGAAUUCCAUCCGCAGCAACCUCGUACGGUCGUCUGAACUCAUCGAGCAUUGGACCAAACUUCAACUCGAUGAUGAGGCAGAACUCCUGCUUUGAUAGCCGCGCCUUACUCUUGCCAAUGGCAAACCAUAGCUCGUGGUCCAUUGACUGCCUCUCAGUGAUCCGGCGAAUCAUGAUGCUAUGCAAGAGACAGGCGCAAAAGUACCCCUGCGGAUAGACGUCCAGGAGCAUUCCAAAGCAGGUACGCUUUACUGGAUCAUACUCCCCCUUCUAUUGGACAGUCUUUGUGAUGUAAUGCAGCUGCGACCACUUACAGUGAGUGUUAAUUGCGACGUUGAACGCCCACUUCUCCCUCAGCACGAUCAGCAAACUGUCAAUAUCCUCAUACUGUCUGCGCUGGAUCUACAAAAUAUGACACACAUGCACUAGUGAGUUAAGCAAUCAUGUGCAACAAGGUACACUGAAGACAUAAAUAAGGAAUAAAUGUUGUGACACGCCAUGCAUUACAAUCAAAAUGUUGUGACACCCUAUGCAUAACGAGUAAAAUGUUGUGACACGCCAUGCAUAACAAGUUAAACGUUGUGACAUGCCAUACAUCUCAAGUUAAACGUUAUGACACACCAUGCAUAUCAAGUAAAAUGUUGUCAAACGCCAUGUAUAACAAGUAAAAUUCUGUGACACGACAUGCAUAUCAAGUAAAAUGCUGUGACACGCCAUGCAUAUCAAGUAAAAUGCUGUCACGCGCUAUGCAUAUCAAGUAAAAUGCUGUCACACACUAAUAACUAACUAUAAUAACAAUGACGUCACACGGUAAACACCCAAAACCGCUAAAACCACUACGACUUAACCACAACAACCAUCAAACCAACAAGAAAACACAGUCUAAACAUUUGCAAAACAAAACAAAAAACCCGAACAUAUCAAACAAACCCAAGAAAAAAUCAAAAAAUUAACAAACAUAAGAAUGUUGCGAAUUUGAGACUCACUGACCUCUUCAUUCAUGGCCGACAUUUAUGCUGUUACUAUGGUUUCGUUUCGCUUGCAAAGAGCCUUCUCGAACACUCCGAUACCGACGAGAAUGAGAAAUGAAUCACACAAACGUUACGAAUUCUGAAUAAUAACUGUUUAAAAUGAAAAAUGGUCUUCUAAUAUUCUUAUUUAUUCUGAAAAAGGGAAAUUAAUUCAGUGAAAGUCUAAAGGAUUACCACGUUAACUGCCCGCUUUUUUUUCCUUUCUCUAUUUCAAACCAUGAUGUGUCAGCUGCUCAAGCACUACCGUGUCACACACUCUAAACAUGACCAUGGCGUGUCACCAACUCUAAACUCUAGCGUGUCACAGAUUCCCUCUAUGGCGUCUCACCAACUCUGAACGCUAACGUGUCACAGAUUCCCUCCAUGCCGUGUCACCAACUCUUAAUCUGACGUGUCACAGAUUCCCUCAAUGGCGUCUCACCAACUCUAAACGCUGUCAUGUCACAUAUUCCCACCAUGGCGUGUCACCAACUCUAAACUCUGGCGUCUCACAGAUUCCCUCCAUGGCGUUUCACCAACUCUGAGCGGUGCCGUGUCACACAUUCUCAACAUGACGUUUCAUAAACUCUAAACCAUGCCCUGCAACAGCCAUCUAACAUAUGGCUUGCUAUAGCAGGACCAUUUCCUGCUUUGGAUUCACAUCUUUCUUCUUUCAAUUCACCACCGUAUCAAGGAUUUCUGGUUUCACAUCAGUAGCCAAGCUUUCCAUUCAUGACGACUUGUUCCUCAUUCGAUUUAAUAUCUCUCUUCUCCUAUUAUCUGAAUGCCAUGUCCCAAAUCUUUGAAAACUCAUCUCAUGCAACAUUAUUUUGUUUUGCACAACCUUCGAAAAAAAAAUUUAGGUAUUUUGCACGACCAAUCUUUGCAUAUUUUUUUUUCUCUCAUUUUUCGCCUGUUUGAGAGUGUACGCUAACGAAGACGGCUCAUUAAGGGCAUUUUUAUCUCAAAAUCUUUUCUGUUGGCUAAAAACAGUUAAAAGUAUCUUGACGUUUAUUUACAAAAAUACGUUAUUUAUAAGGGCUAAAAAAAAUCCAUUUUAAUUUAUUUAAAAUAGUUUAAAAGGUAUUUUCGUCAAGUCAUAACUAAAUAUGGUUAAAAACAGUUAAGCUUAUUUUAAUGGUUACUUUUAAAAUAUCUUUAUUAAGAAAGGUCAUUUCUCACAAUUUUCUCUUUAUUAAAUAUACAGAGUCUUUUAGCGGUUAGGAAUUCCACUAAAUUAAGCCAAUUAAAACAAAAGGCCCAGUGACCACAUAUUGGGUGAUUACUCAAGUAGUAUUAUGCGUUUGUGAGAGAACGAUUGUCACAAUGUCAAAAACCUGAAAUAAUACAAAGAGUUUUUUUAUCCUUCUUAGAGUUAGAACGAAUGUUGCUUUAAGAAAGAGAAUGCAUAAAUGCAAAUUAUUUAUACCAAGUGGAAACCUAGCUGGAUCUGGAAUAAGCUUCAACUUGAGCAAUUUGGAGGUGAUCAAGCUAGUAAUUGGGCUAAAUUUGGUGUUGUUACGACAACUAGGCACUGGAGAAGGAAGGAGCGGGCAGAUGCCCCCUCUUUCUUUCCUUUUUUGGCUAAAAAACCAACUUCCCUCGAACUCAUUUGGGCCCCCAAGUGGUAACCAUUUUGAUUUUUAUUCUUAUGAUUAAAUCCAUGUCCCCACAUUAAUAAUAUCAACCUCACUAAUGGGCCAAUAGGAACGUAAAAUAUGUAUAGUUUGGUAAAUAAAUGUUGUUUGCUAUAGAAAUCCGUAGAAGAUGCAUGCUGUUCCAUAUCUAGAAUCGAGUCUCCCUCGAUUAAAAUCAACACAGUUCCUCGGCUUAUAUAUUAAGGUUGUAUUAUUCACAUAUGCACUCCAUCAUCAAUUUCUUUUUAGUUUCAAAUCCCUCACACUUUACUCGAGCCAUGGCGUUUGGUAUGAGUACAGCGAUUUUCCUCUUUAUGCUGGCGCUUUGUGGCGUCUCCAUGGGGGCCGUGCACCAGGUCGGAGACUUUGGUGGAUGGAACAUUGUUGCUCCAGUUGGUUACCAAAAGUGGGCUGCAACCAGGAACUACCACGUUGGCGACGUUGUUGGUAACUAAUUAAGCUCCCCGAUCCUCUGGAUUUAUACUCUUUUCCACUAGUAUUUGAUGAUUUGGUUACAUGAUAAAGUUGGUUUAAUUUGAUUGCAGUUUUCAAGUACAACAAGCUGUUCCACAACGUGCUCCGUGUGACACACCAGAACUUCAAGUCAUGCAACGCAACAUUUCCGAUUGCAGUCUACUCCUCGGGUUCUGACACCAUGACCUCACAAGGCCCGGCCACUUCUUUUUCAUCUGCGGUCUUCCUGGCCACUGUCUAAGCGGGCAAAAGCUUCACAUUGAGGUCGCUCACGGCCAGGAAAACCUUCCACCUUUUGCUUCCGGUGUUAAUCACUUACCACAGUCAGGCUCAGUGUUUUAUCAGGCGUUGGCACCCAGUUCAGAGAACAUAGAACCGAUCCCUGGCCCAGCUCAGAGCGGUGCUCCAUCUCUCAAAUUGUUCAACGUCUGGGUGGCUCUGGCAGUCCUUGCAUUUGGAUUAGGUGUUACUGGCAUCGGUUACUAGCUGAUUGGGUUUCAUUUUUAAGUAAUUGUGCCAAUGUUACAGUCUUCUAUUUAUAAAUAAGCUUAAACUGACGACAGGCAUGUUUGAAAUACACUAUAAUGUUAAUCUGCUCUUUUGAAUUGAUGAAACAGUGUUUGAAUUGAACGUGAUUGGUAAAAAACAAUGACAAUUGUUAGAGAAGAAAAAAUCUUAUAUAAUAUAAAAUUAUAUAAGUUAUAAAAGAUCUAAAUUGUAUAUUUCGAAAUCUAAAUUAUGUAUAUAUUAUAUAGAUAAAUAAAGUAUAUAUAUAUAUAUAUAUAAAGUUAAUCUUAAUUUUAUUUAUAGUCUAACUCUAUUUAAAAUAUUUUUAUUCUAAUAAGAUAGUGUAGUCUAAUUAGAUAAUAUUAUUGUAUAAUAACUCUAACUAAAUAAUUUGUAUAAUUAUCUUUUAUAUAUGGCUAAUCCUAAUCUUAUUCAUAAUUUAAUUCAAACUAACAAACAAUAUUACAGUAUAACUCUAAUAAGAUAUUAUAAUCUAACUAGAUAAUAGUAUUGUAUAAUAACUUUAACUAAAUAAUUUGUAUAAUUAUCUUAACAUUUUCUUCAAAAUGAUAUUAUAUGCAACUUGAGUUUGGAAUUAAACUAAGAUAAACUAAUUCUUGAAAUCAAUUAAAUGUUGCAUGACGUGAUGACAUGGCGAAACACGAAACAUGUGACAGAUUGUUGUGAUGUCAAAAAUUUUACAAAUAAAAGGAACUCAAACUCAAUUGGACAGUCAAGAAAAUUUAUGAAAAUAUGACAUUUUGGGAUUAAAUGUAUGCAAGUAUUAAGUUCUAUUAUAACUAAAACAAUAAUAUUAUAUAUAUAUAUAUAUAUGUUAUUGUUCUUUAGUGCACAAAAAGGAGAGAAAUUAAUAUCAUAAUGUUCAAAAUUCUCCAUUUUUUCUGACAAACAUCAUAAUAGCUUUUCACUCAAAUGAAUUUGAAAAAUUAUGACAAAAAUUAAUAACUUGUUAAAAUUUUUCAAAGAUAUUAAUAAUUACCUUUUCAAUUAAAAUUUUUAAAUAUUUUUAUAAAUAAUAUUUCAAUAUAUCGGUUUUAAUUCUCAAUUUUAAUUUUCAUAACUUAAUUUAAUUGACAACUUUACCAAAAUUUACUUAAGAAAGUUUACGUAAAUCUUAUCUUCAAUUCUUUUUUUUUUUAUCUUGCCAUUUUAUCUUUUAAUGUUCAAGCGCUUAAUUUAUUUAUAAAAACUAUGAUUGAAUGACUACAUUAUCCAUAGAAAGGAUACAAACAUAUUAAAACUUUAAGACUUUUAUGUAAAUAUAUCUUUUAAAUUUUAGAGAAGAAAAAAAAAGUAAAUUUUGUUUAAAUUGGAAAAAUAAAUAACCAAUUAAAAAAUAACAAUAAUUAAUGUCAAAAGUAUAUCGUAUUUUUUAUUGUUGGCAUCCGUUUCAGAAUACAAAUCCCUUUUGGUAUGGGAAAACCCUUUUCAUGCAAAACUUGAAGAGAUACAUGUAUUUAUAGAGCCAGUCAGCCAGCACCGUGGUUUUUCUUCACAAAUUAACCAACUCGUUGCAAACGCUUUCUUUUACAGUCUUGCUCUCUCUGUUGCUUUCUUGCUCUUCAGUUAAUUGAUUUCUUUUGAUAAUCGUGGUUCGAGUAUGGCUUCUGCUAAGAGAAUCCUGGCUUUCCUUUUGAUGCUGGCUUUCUCUGGAGUCCUCCUUGGUGCCGUUUACAAGGUCGGCGACUCUGCUAGUUGGAGUAUGAAGAGAAAUAUUGAUUUCUUCUUCCCGUUCUUCAACCUCCGAUUCAGAGCAAGUGGGUCAGCGACUUUCUCCGUAAGUUUUCUAAGCAAUUAUCAAUUUUCCUCUGUUUCUCCUUUUCUUCUUAAUUUUUUUAUUUUUUUGAGAGACUCUGCUUCUUGGUGUUGUUACGAUAUAUACCUUUUGCUACUACAUGACCGCCUUUUCUUUAUCACGCAGUUUUCGAGUAAAACAGUCAAUUUUACAAUAUGAAGCAAGUGAGUUUCAACGAUUUCCAAUCAUGCGGCGGGACUUCCGCUAUCGCCUCCGACACCUCUGGUUCUGACUCCAUCCCCCUCCCCUCGACAGGCCCGGCGACUACUUCUUCAUUUGCUGAGUUCCUGGCCACUGCAAGCCGGCCAGAAAGCUGACGUUUUGGUCACGCCAUCUUUCCUGGGCCCAAGAGCAAGUCAGAAGCCCAUCUCCUUAAGGUUUGCCACUUGCAAACCCACAGUCAGAGAUGUCGGCACCUGGCCCAACUCCUUAAGCUUCCCUAGGCAUUGUGUCUUGUUGCAUUUUGUUUCUUGGUUUUUGCUUCAAUAACUUUGUUCGGGCGGGAUUUUUUUUUUUUUUUUGUUAUUUAAUUUGGACUUGUCCUAUGGUAAUUGGCUUGUUUAAUCGUUAGAUUAAACAAAUGUUCAAUCAAGUAAAA
rnacentral:lncRNA from 1 species